GGAAACCACAAAAGUGAUUUACACGUGACGAACUGAAACAUCUCAUUAGUUACAGGAAAAGAAAUCAACCGAGAUGCCGUAAGUAUUGGCGAAAGAAAGCGGCAAUGGCACGAUACACACUAAAACAAGAAGCUGUUUAGAGAAAGCACCAAAGAAGGUACGAGUCCUGUAUUAAAUGUGAGUGUGUAUUGACAAGUAGAACGUUCACUGUUUGAACACGGGAGAACCACCUUCUAAGCCAAAUUAUGCUUUGGAGAUCGAUAGCGAACAAGUACUGUGAAGGAAAGGUGAAAAGAACCUGAUAAAAAGGGAGUGAAAAGAUCUGAAUCAAAACACUGACAAGCAAUCGAAGCCUCUGAGUUCGCAACCCCAGCGGCUCAUAUACGGGUGACGGUGUACCUUUUGCAUAAUGGGUCAGCGACUAAAUGAAACAAGCAAGCUUAAGCACUGAUGUGGAAGCAAAGCAAAAGCAAGUAAACAAUCUGCGUACGGAGGCCCACUCGUGCACUACGGACGCGGGGACCAAAGAUCGAAAUGACUUUGAUGAAGAGGGUGUACCACUGUUUGGUUCAUUUGACCCGAAACUAAGUGAUCUCGCCUUGAGCAGGUUGAAGGAAGCGUAAUUUCUUUUGGAGGACCGAACCGACGUCUGUAGCAAUAGACGCGGAUGAGUUGAGGCGAGGGGUGAAAGGCCAAUCAAACUUAGAUAUAGCUGGUUCUUCGCGAAAUGUAUUGAGGUACAGCGUACAAUGAAGCAUGAUGGGGGUAGAGCACUUGUUGAGCUAUGGGGGUCCAAAACCUUACUGCUCUCACGAAAACUCCGAAGACCAUACAUUUGCUUUCAUGUGCAGACAGACUUUCAGUGCUAAGGUUGAAAGUCGAAAGGGAAACAGCCCAGCCUGGCCGCUAAGGUCCCAAAGCUUUCUGUGAGUGGGAAAAGAUGUGAGACAACGGUUACAACUAGGAGGUUGGCUUGGAAGCAGCCAUUCUAUCAUGAAAGCGU
rnacentral:rRNA from 11 species